rnacentral:lncRNA from 1 species
GGACUGGGGUGGUCAGAAAGCAGAGGGAAUGAGAGGGAAAUGUGGGAAAGGGCCUUUAUUGUGGUUGUCUGCAGAAGGAACAGGCAAGACAGAGUGAGCAGGUUUAGAAUGAACUAUUUUGAAUAAUUUCAGCAAGGUCUGGGGCAAUGGGGCUGUCCCUAGUUGCCUGGUACCUGGCCCAGGGGUGAUUAGGAGAGGGAUACAGUUUCACAGAGUAUAAGAACCAAAUAAAGAAGGUGAUUGGUAAUGUAGGCUCUGAAUUAGUUGGUUUGCAUAUGAAAGGUGCAAACAUUUGCUAUCUCUGGAAAUUAGCUAACCCUGGGAAGGACAAAUCCUCCAGGUCAGCAACUCCCUGGAUGUGAAAGCUUCAAAUUCAGAAACUAGAAAAGCAUGGUUUUCGCAAAUAUUACUGCAAUGACCUCAGUUUCUUGUAAAGACCAUCUGAUAAAACAUUCUUGUCAGAUAUAAGCUAAUUCAUAAGGUAAUUCUGUAUUCUGUAGUGCUCUCUACUAAGUACACAUAUUACAAUUUACAUCACCAUCACAUACUAACACAGCUUCUGGUUUUGGGCUCUCUGCCAUGUGGGUCCUCAAUAAAUAAAGCUUAAUGAAUGCUAUAGAGUCUUUCAAUAAGAAACUAAAUGCCACCAAUGACAGCACAGUUAAUCAGUGGCAAAACCGGGAAUUGAUCUUAGGCUUCUUGCUUCCAAAUGCAUUGUUAUCCAGUAAGAUUAUGCUUUGCCAGAGCAAAAGUCUAUGCAGCUGCUCUUGAGAAAGUCUCAAUAAUAAACGUUAGGUAAUAAUUGUCUCACUUCUGGUCUAAAAUCAGGAGCCUAUUUAAAGGAUUGACUCUGGGAAAUUUGAGAGAAGCUCCAGGAAGAGUUUUCUCCACUUCUGUUUUCUGGACUUGCAAUGUCUCAUUGAAUUCCUUCCCAAAUAUGAAUCAUAGCAAGCCUCAGUGAAUCUAGAAAUCUGGUAGUCUUGGAGGCAUCAGUAAUAACUGCAAACCAGCAACAAUUAGGAAAAUCCCAACACCCUGAGCUGAUGGUUUCUUUCUUUCUUUAUUUUUUUUUUUUUUUGGCAAUGAAACAAAGUUUAAGAGACCCAAAACAACCUUCAAGGUCAUAUCUUUAUUCGUUCCCACUUAUAUCUCUACUUCCUAGAACAAAAAACCCCCAGUAAUGAUCUGUGAACCAUAAAUCUUGUGAUUCAGUUCUAUGAUUAUUAUUUUUCUCGACCUAAACUGUAUAUACCCUUUAUGAUUUAAUUUUGAACUCAAGUGGCCUACUCUUGCUGCUUAGCUAUGGAUAGGAGCUUGGGUAUGUGUCUAAAAUGUUACUUUAACAAUUGUUUGACUCUCUCAUCUACUCUCACCUCAUAGGAAAUUAUGGCCUCUUUGGAUGGGUGCUCUGUAGCUGCCACCAGUUGUCAACCAGCCAUGAUGAUGACUGUUUUAUUGAUUGGCCACCAGUCAGGCUAUUGUCAUUUGUAUUUCCAGCAGAAGGAAGAAAUGUCAUUUUAUUUUAUAUAUAUUAAAUAUAUAUAUAUUUUCUAUAUAUAUGUACACACACAUAUAUGUAUGUGUAUAUAUAUACAUUAUAUAUAUAUACACA